rnacentral:lncRNA from 1 species
CUCUGAUGAGUGGAUAAAGAGAUCCAAAAAACUACUUUUGAGUUGGCAGGGCAGGACUAAUUUGUUGAAAAAUCGUAGGAGUUUCAUGCAUGCAUUUUAAAAUCUUUCGCAAUGCAAUACAAUCUGAAUAAAUAUUUUAAUCUAAAAUGUAAGCAUAUGAUCUGAUUAUAAAAUACCCUAUAUAUGGAUCUAUAGCAUGUAUAUGUGCAUGAAAAAAAAAUCUAAACACAAAAAUCUGCAUGAUGUACAUGAAAACUAGUAAAGCAGUAGAUCUAAUCUACUACUAGCAGGAAUCCAAACCCUAUACCUGAGUGUAGAUAGUCGAACACCGUGAUUAUGAAUGUGGAUUUGGAGGUCCUCGCUGGUUGCUCACAACUGCACAGUAUGUCCGACCUCUACGAAUUAUCCAUACAAAGUCCUCAUACCGAUCUGCUGUCUUUGGAAGUGCUAGCCCGCGAAGAUCACUUCUGAUAGCUGAUCUAAUUGGAUUUCCUUCUCUAAUCACCUCGGAUCCUUUCGAGAUUAAAGAUAGAUCAACAAAGGUUGCUGGAGGAUAGAGGAACAAUAGAAAAUGAUCUAGAUCUAAUCUGAAUUUUUCUCUUCAAAAUAAUUCAGCACCAAGACUGAACUCUCACCAAAGAAGAGACAAAUCUCUUCUAAUCACAUGCCAAAAAGAAAAUCGCCAACCCCAGAUCCUCAUGCCCAAGACCCUUGGUUCAGCCCUCUCUCUUUUCUCUCUUUCUUGAUGGAAAAAUCAGAUGUUUCAUCACACAAAAAAUAACUCCUUUUAUGGUUGCCAAACAAAAUGAUAGGAUGAGAUAGGACAAGUGCCGAUUCAAGUUUGAAUUCGAUUCAAGUUUGAAUUCGAAUCUCAUUUGAACUCAAACCAAACAGACCUUAUCUCCAUCCAUUCUCUAAUCAAAGAGGUACCGAACAUGAGAAGAUGGGCAUGGAAAAAAUUCAGGAACACUUUCUUAUUGUCACACAAAUAAGAUCCCUUCACAAGGGGCCGGCAGGUGGAAUAGAUAAGGUAGGAUUAGGAUUUAGUUAGGGUUUAAAUUUAAAUUCAAACUAACUAACCUCCACCCUAUUACUAUUGGGCAACAACAUGGGGUGUUUGCUGGAGAUUUCUCAUGCACAAAUAAGCUUUGUGUGAUGAGAAAUAUCGUAGAUAAGAGAAGGUGGCGUAAGGGAGUUCAAAUAUUUGAAUUUUGAAUUCAAACUUGAAUUUGAAAUUCAAAUUGAUUUCAAAUUCAAAUCAAGUUUGAUUCAAUCAAACUCUAUCUAAUUAGAAGUGAUUUAACCCAAUCUAAUUUGAUUCUAACUCAAUUAGAAAUUAACAAGAUUCAAAUCCUGAUCAAAUCAGGGCUUAAUCU